UAUUAUGCUCAUUUCUUUGGAU
rnacentral:miRNA from 1 species